AAAUAACACUUACAUACAUCCAAAAGCUAAUACAUAGGUUCAUGUACAAAAGAUUCAUCAUUCGGCGCCUAUCUUAAUUACAACCCAAAAAUAUAUACACUACAGUCAUUUCUACUAAAAUAAAAACUUAAAGUCUCUCAACACAUUCCAACAGUAUUCUUGAGCACUCUCGGAUCCGAAUCCUGUUAAGGAAAACAAAACGUGGGAUGAGCUUACGUCCAGUGAGCAUUCCAGGUAAACAAGCAAAAUAAGAGAAUAACACAAUUUAACAUGUAAGCACGAUUUCCCAACUAAUAUAGGUUCAAGUAAAUCGAUACUCAACUUUAGAAACUAGUAGUAGAGCAAUUAAUUGUAAUAGGAAUCUUUCAACGUAAAAUACUUGAUAAACAAUAACAUUCAUGCGUGCAUUCAAUCAUUCGUUCAAGUAAAUACAAGAAUGAACAAUAAUUUAAACAUUAAAAGGAUACGGGGCUCACAAAGAGCAACAUUCACCUUAUAACUACCAAUAAACAAUCUUCUACAUUUUACCACCUUAUAACCUCCGAACUCCCACCUUAUGUCCUCCAAAAGAUCAACGAUCCCCUCAUUUAACAUUCACCUUAUGCCCUCCGUGUCGCGCCCCAUUUUUAAAUGAAAAUGUAAUGUGUUUAGAAAAAUGAAUUUUUGAUUGAUUUUUGAUUGAAAAAUGGGUUUUUGAUUUAUUUUGAGUAAAAAGGAGCUUUUGAUCUUUAGAAAAUAAAUAAAGAAAAUGAGCCUAAAUGGGACUUAAAGUGCGACGAUUUUGAUCCAAAAAUAAUAGUUUAAAAAGGGUUUUUAAGAAAAAAAUAGGAGUCGUCACUUGGUAUUGAGUUAAGGUGUACCAAGUCACAUAAAAUGAAUUUUUAAAGAAAAAAUAGAGAAAACCCUUUUUAAACGACUCCAAGUCUGCGAAAAUCAAGAGAAAAGAGGCCAGGAGUCACAUUUGAAGAAAGGGAAGGCAAGGAUAAAAUCCAAGGCACUCUUUCAACCUAACCAAGGCUAGUUGCGUGGUUUAGUCAAAAAAUUUUCUUAUUUUAACUUAGGAAUUUAUCACAUUUGGAUGUCACUAUAUGGAUGCAAAAACCUAAGUCUAGGAGGAUGUCGGGGGUCGGAAUAUCUCUUCAAAAGCUUGAUUGGUGCAAAUCACAUUAAUUGUGAUGCCCAAGAGUGACUCUUUGAAGAGGUCACAAAUAUGCAAAAAUAUGAGACCCGAAGAAAAUAAAAGAAAAUAAUAAUUAUACAAAUAUACAUGAUCUAAAGGAAUGCAUCAUAACGGGUGCGGGGGCUAAAAUUCAUGACUUUAAUUUUCCCUUUAAUAGAGGGAAUACGAGCGUGCUAAGGUUAGAAAACCAUAUUCAUCCAUAUCCCAUAUUCGAGGGGUAUUUCUCCUAUCUAAUCAAGCAAAAUGAUCUAACCUAGUUCUAACUUUCCUUAAAUGAAAUGCAAGUCUAAUGUCAUGAUUCAUACAUAGGGGGUAAGGAAUAUACAUAUAAGGAAAAUAUGGGAUAAGGGAUAUACAUAUAAGGGGAAUGUCAUGUAAAAUAAAAAAACCCUACAAAAGUAGAAACUAUGCAUGAAAUGUAGUGCUUUGUCACACAAACAUAAUCUAACGCGUGGAUGGUUCCUAAGGGUCUAGCGUUGGACUAGCCUAUGUCUAUAAACUCUCACUAGCGUUGGACUAGUGAGAAAUCGGAGAGGAGGGCCACAACUAGCGUUGGACUAGUGUGAAAUUGGAAGAAAAGGGGGCUACAACUAGCGUUGGACUAGUGUGGUAAUGACAUGCAUUUAUUACAAUCAAAUAAAUCAUGUAAAAUAUAAUAAAACAAAUAAACACAUAAAUCACAUAUAGCAUAUAGCACAUAGGCAUGAUAUCUAGAUGCAAGGUUCUAAGAAAGCGAGUAACAAGUAAACACAUAAGCAUGCAAAACACACAAAGCAAAUAAAGCCCUAACUAUUACAUUUGGGGGCCCUAACAACAAUUUAAAAAGGAAAAGAAUGAAAUGAAAUGAAAUAAUAACCUAACUAUUACAAUUUUGGCAUUUAAUUGCCUUCCAAAUAAAAAUUAAAUAAAUAUACAAAAUCAAAACAAUUAAAGUGACUAAAUAAAUAAAUGAAAUAAAAACAUUCAAAAAGAAUGCAAUUACGCACAUAAAGUCACAUAGGAGCACAUAGGAUCAAGUAAAAUCAAAAUAAAGAGUAGAGUAUACCUCCCUUAAAUUGGUGACCUAAUGAAGUGAAGUUUUCCUUAUUUACCCUCCAAAAUAAAGAAAAAGGGUCAAGACAUCGCUUUAAUUAACAAAUAAUCACAUGAAAUGGAAAUAAACACGAAAUUGAAUCAAUCAAAUCAUUCAAAUAAAAAUAAACAACCCAUAUUCAAUAAAUUAAAACCAACAAGGACCCAAUUGAAAUAAUUAAAGAAGUUUGAGGGGUCAAAUUAUUAUUAUUACAAAUAUUAGGGGUCUAAAUUAAAAUAAAUUAAAAUUAAUGGCUUAAGAAUGAAACCUACCAAAAGAAAACUAAAAUUCACAAAAAAUAAAUGAAAAACCAUUUGUUACAAUUAAACAACAAAAAUACCCAAAAUUUCACUAAAAAUCCAAAUCAUAAUCAUAAAUCUCUCAAAACUAUUAAACCUCAAAUUUUAUCCUAAAAUUCACUAAAAAUCUAUCCAAAAAUCACAUUAAAUCAUAUCAAAGAAAAAUAACAUGAUAAAGGACAAAAAUGAUUAAUUUUCCAAUUUUCUGGGCUAUAGUGGCAUUAGUUAAAAAAGUAGGGGCUAAAGUGCAAUUUCUGGAAUUUUUCAUGCAAAGCAUCGAGGCAAGCUUUCUUCUUUAUUAGCUUUCUCUGCAACGUUUCUGGGUUUCAUGCCCACCGCAAUUUCAUCAAACAAAACAUCCAACCAAACAUCAACUUUGAACCAAAACAACCUAAAUAUGCAACUCCCAACGUCAAACAGAUCAAAUGCUACACUUUAUCGCAAGAUUAUAACAGAAAAAUGGAGAAAAAACAGCAAAGGAAGAACACAAAAUGCAGAGAGCAAAAAGGAAGAAAUCUGUCAUAAAUCCGAACUUGUAUGACGGAAGAGAGUUUAAAGAUUACCUCUGAUGUUUUGAACGAUGGAACAACACGUGACACGGUAAGAUAAGCAGAUUCAAGUGCGAAAAAGCUACUGGUGGGAAGCUGCAAAAUUUUCUCCCGGGACUGACGGUGCCGCGACUUGAAGCUUCAAUUCAACAGGUCUGGAGUUGUUUUUCCCGAAUUAUUUCUGAACAAAAACUUCUCCAUUGCAGUCCAGGAUAUUUCAGAAACGAAGAAACCUCCCUGAAAAUCUGAAAUAUGAUCAGAAAUUGGAGACGAAUCAGGCUGAUGAAUCAGCCUGAGCCCAGGGUUUCUUCCAGCAAAAAUUUUCUUUUGAUCUCCUUUUUCCUCUAUUUUUCCCUCUUCUCUCUCUGUGUCUUUCUUGCUCCGCCUCUUUUCUCCUCUCUUUUCUUUCUUUUCCUUGCUUUUCCCUACUCAUCCGCCACCUUCUUCCUUUUCUUUUCCUUGGUUUUUCCUCAGCAAUCUCUCUUGCUCUCUCGGUUUCUUCCUUCCACAGCCCCUCUCCCUUUCUUUUUUUCUUGGCAGCCUCCACCUUCUCUCAAUCUCCUCCCUCUCUUGUUACCCGUAGCUUUUCCCUCUGGUUUUCCUCCUUUUUCCAGAUUUCCCCCAAGCUUUUUCUCCUUUCUCCCUCGAAACUCUUCCCUCUCUCUUGCCUUUCUUCCUCUGGUUUCUUGCCCGUAAACUUUUCCCAGAUUUUCCUUGCUUAGUUCCAGAUUUUUCCUUGCUCUCUUUGGUUUCCUCUCCCUCUAUUGGUUCCUCAGCCCGUAGCUUCCCUUGUUUUUUUUGUUUUCAGUUUCCUUCUUCUUCCCAAAGCUUCACCGCCAGCUCUCGUAGCUUUUUUCCUCCAACCCCCAGCCGCCAUUCUCUUUUUCCUGUCUUCCCAAAGCUCCUCACAACCCUCUCCCAAUCUCUUUUCCAGUUUUUCUCUCCUCAAGCCCGUAGCUUUUUUUCUUGGUUCCCCCCUUUCUUUUUUCCCAGUUUUUCUCCUCCAGCCCGUAGCCCCUCCUUUGUUCAAUCUUGCUCUUCCUCUCGCUGCCAUUUUCUUUGUUUCUUACCUUAGCUUUCUUUUCCUCCCUCAGCCAAGACUCUCUCGCUUGUUUCUUUCCCGUUCUCUUCCUUAGUUUCCCUUCUAGCCGGCCC
rnacentral:lncRNA from 1 species